ACGCCCUACGUUCCGCUAUCAACAUACAGAGAUGUGUUAAACCGCAUCUAUCUCGUCAUUAAAGACGACUUCUGUGGCAUGAAAGAGGAUACCAUACGAGACUACCAGGUAGCCUUUCUUGGUGAGCAGUACUGUGUAUAUUGGGGAAAAGGACCCCUUUCUGUCAGACAUCUGGAAAACAAAGAGGAAGUGUCAAAAGAGGAACUUGAAGAAUGUGCUUUCUUUGACAUGACGACCCAUCGGAUGCCGUUCACUCUUCAGCCACGUGAAAGAAUAGUAUCCGGAGUUCUUGU